rnacentral:rRNA from 1 species
UACGUAGGGACCAAGCGUUGUUCGGAUUUACUGGGCGUAAAGGGCGCGUAGGCGGCGUGACAAGUCACUUGUGAAAUCUCAGGGCUUAACUCGGAACGGCCAAGUGAUACUGUCGUGCUAGAGUGCAGAAGGGGCAAUCGGAAUUCUUGGUGUAGCGGUGAAAUGCGUAGAUAUCAAGAGGAACACCUGAGGUGAAGACGGGUUGCUGGGCUGGCACUGACGCUGAAGCGCGAAAGCUAGGGGAGCAAACGGG